UCCGUAGGCGGGCAAUUAAGUCAGAGGUGAAAUCCCACAGCUCAACUGUGGAACUGCCUUUGAUACUGGUUGUCUUGAGUUAUAGAGAAGUAGAUAGAAUAUGUAGUGUAGCGGUGAAAUGCAUAGAUAUUACAUAGAAUACCGAUUGCGAAGGCAGUCUACUAACUGUAUACUGACGCUAAUGGACGAAAGCGUGGGGAGCGAACAGGAUUAGAUACCCUGGUAGUCC
rnacentral:rRNA from 1 species